GAGUCACUGAGUAGGGGGCAUGGGGAAAUUGCUAUAUGUCAAGGGCUAGACGGUGCACUUCAAGAGCAUCGGUCAAGCCACUAGGCACUAGCCGCUAGCUAGUGGAUAUAGAGAAUACGGAGCUUUGCUAAGCCGUAAGCCACCAAACACAGAACCAGAAGCCAAUGGCUGCAAUGGCAGCUGCUUUAGCACCAGCCACCACUUCCCUCCGAUUGAAGCCCUACUCUACCUUACGCUUCUUCUCUUUCUAUCCCAGAACCACCAUUACCAAUACCCUUACUCCACCACUCCUUUUCCCGCCAAUCCUUCCCCGUACGUUUCAAUUCCCCUCUGCUAGGAGACGCUUAUGCUCCGUAAUCUCCGGGGCUCUUCACUCCGGCGAGGCCGUCGAGAGGACGAGGCCGGAGCCGCCGGAGUUUGCUGAGAAGUUGAGGGGCGAGAGACGAGUCGGAGAGUUCAGGAAGAAGCUCAGGAUUGCGGAUAUAAAAGGUGGGCCCGAUGAAGGCUUGGAACGAUUGGGACAGACCCUGUUCGUGCAGGGUUGGGUUCGGACUAUUCGGAUUCAGAGCAGUGUUACGUUCAUUGAGGUUAACGAUGGUUCAUGCCUCUCAAACAUGCAAUGCGUGAUGGGUUCAGAUGCUGAAGGUUAUGAUCAGGUUGAAUCUGGGUCAAUCACAACUGGUGCCUCACUAUGGGUGCAAGGCAUUGUGGUGGCCAGCCAAGGAUCGAAGCAAAAGGUGGAGUUGAAGGUGAAGAAAAUUGUCUUGGUUGGCAAUAGCGAUCCUUCCUAUCCCAUUCAGAAGAAAAGAGUAAGCAGAGAAUUUUUGAGAACAAAAGCUCAUCUCCGUCCAAGAACAAACACUUUUGGUGCGGUUGCAAGGGUGAGGAAUGCUCUGGCAUAUGCUACACACAAGUUUUUCCAAGAAAAUGGGUUUGUUUGGGUCUCAAGUCCUAUUAUUACUGCCUCAGAUUGUGAAGGAGCAGGUGAACAGUUUUGUGUUACUACUUUGAUGCCAAGCUCCAGAGAUGCUGUUCAUUCUUCCAUGGAUGGUAUUCCAAAAACACAGGAUGGGUUAAUUGAUUGGUCAAAGGAUUUUUUUGGGAAACCAGCUUUCUUAACUGUCUCAGGCCAGCUAAAUGCUGAAACCUAUGCUACUGCUCUUUCUGAUGUGUAUACAUUUGGUCCCACAUUUCGUGCUGAAAAUUCAAACACUUCUAGGCACUUAGCUGAGUUUUGGAUGAUUGAACCUGAACUAGCGUUUGCUGAUCUAAAUGAUGACAUGGCUUGUGCAACUGCCUAUCUCCAGUAUGUAGUGAGAUAUGUUCUGGAAAAUUGCAAGGAAGACAUGGACUUUUUCAACACUUGGAUUGAGAAAGGAAUAAUUGAUCGAUUGAGUGAAGUGGCCGAGAGAGACUUUGAAGAGGUGACUUAUACUGAUGCUAUUGAACUUCUUCUAAAAGCAAAUAAGAAAUUUGAGUUCCCGGUGAAGUGGGGAUGUGAUUUGCAGAGUGAGCAUGAACGAUAUAUAACUGAAAAGGCAUUUAGAGGAUGUCCUGUAAUAAUCAGAGACUAUCCAAAGGAGAUCAAAGCAUUCUAUAUGAGGCAAAAUGACGAUGGGAAAACUGUUGCGGCCAUGGAUUUGUUGGUUCCUCAGAUUGGCGAGCUUAUUGGUGGAAGCCAAAGAGAAGAACGACUCGAAUAUCUAGAAGCUAGACUAGAUGAUUUGAAGCUGAAUAAGGACAGCUACUGGUGGUAUCUUGAUUUACGUCGAUAUGGUUCAGUUCCGCAUGCGGGGUUCGGUUUGGGUUUUGAAAGGCUUGUACAAUUUGCAACUGGAGUAGAGAAUAUAAGAGACGCUAUUCCUUUCCCUCGGACACCUGGUUCAGCAGAGUUUUAGUGGGAUAAUUGAUAGUUUUUUGUUGUUGAAUCAUUGUUAGAGCUCCUCUUUGUUUCUAUUUUCUAGAAUUAGCACAUAUCAUUCGUCUUGCGUUUCACUUUUGUGUUCCAAAUCUUUGAGCAUUGUAUAAAUUAAAAACAAAAUCAAUCCUCAAGUCUACUACUUCCUAUAGGUCUGAUGGUUAAGAGUUCAUUGCUUAUGAAUGUAAGAUUAAAUAUUUGAAAGUAUUAAAUAGUGACAAAUAAUAUUCUUUUUCUAAUA